rnacentral:rRNA from 1 species
GAUGAACGCUGGCGGCGUGCCUAAUACAUGCAGGUCGAGCGAACAGACGAGGAGCUUGCUCCUCUGACGUUAGCGGCGGACGGGUGAGUAACACGUGGAUAACCUACCUAUAAGACUGGGAUAACUUCGGGAAACCGGGGCUAAUACCGGAUAAUAUAUUGAACCGCAUGGUUCAAUAGUGAAAGACGGUUUUGCUGUCACUUAUAGAUGGAUCCGCGCCGCAUUAGCUAGUUGGUAAGGUAACGGCUUACCAAGGCAACGAUGCGUAGCCGACCUGAGAGGGUGAUCGGCCACACUGGAACUGAGACACGGUCCAGACUCCUACGGGAGGCAGCAGUAGGGAAUCUUCCGCAAUGGGCGAAAGCUUGACGGAGCAACGCCGCGUGAGUGAUGAAGGUCUUCGGAUCGUAAAACUCUGUUAUUAGGGAAGAACAAAUGUGUAAGUAACUAUGCACGUCUUGACGGUACCUAAUCAGAAAGCCACGGCUAACUACGUG